UGGCUGUCGUCAGCUCGUGCCGUGAGGUGUUGGGUUAAGUCCCGCAACGAGCGCAACCCCUAUCACUAGUUGCCAUCAGGUAAUGCUGGGAACUCUAGUGAAACUGCCGCCGUAAGGCGUGAGGAAGGAGGGGAUGAUGUCAAGUCAUCAUGGCCUUUAUGCCCAGGGCUACACACGUGCUACAAUGGCGAGUACAAAGGGUUGCUACCUGGUAACAGGAUGCUAAUCUCA
rnacentral:rRNA from 1 species